CCUGAAGCAAGCCAUUGGUUAUAAAAGCUGUGUUAAAGCAAGUAUAAAAAAGGCGGCUUCCAAUCAUUUUCUGGUAGAAUGUGAUGCGUUUGUCAAAGUAAAAAUCAAGACAUGUUUUCUCGUCGAUGAUGGAACUCUCUGUAUCCAUUUGAACAACAAGACGUGCCUCUUCUCCAUCUGUCACUGCCUCAUCAUCUUGCGAAUCAGAGUUCACAUGAGAUAUAUAAUACCGUGGACUCAAACUUCUACAAUACCCUUUCUUGAAUUGUCUACAACAACCUCUUGCAAGUUCUACAGAUGGUCGAUACAUCUCACCUGGAACCUAACAUCAGAAACAGUGUGUGCUUUGCAUCAAUGUUUAUAUUAUUAUCAAGCAGAAUCAGUAUCUGCAAUGCAUCAAAGUGUAUAUAUAUCAUUACCUCCUGAAGUUCUGAGACCACAAAGAAAACGGAGUCAACGUUAGCUGUAUCAUAAAGUCUAAUCCUCAGCAACUCUCUGCUAUCUUCUUGGGGUAAUUUAACCUCCGGAGGUCCCUUUAAACGGAACAGCGUCUUCAGCUGACAUCCCACCAUAGACAAGAAAAUAUACCAUGCAAUGAACAACCGUGAUGUUCUUGGGAUCUUGUGCGAGCCAAGAAUAAACACUUUCGCAGAAAAGUUGGAUCAUUUUGAGAGACGGAACAUGAUUGUCAUCAAACGGAAAUCGUUCCACGCGGCCAUAAAAGUUUUCUGGAUCAUAAGAUUCCUCUAUGCAUAGAUUAUAGACCUGUGACCCAAAAAUGUUUAGAAAAAGAUUGGCUUAUAUGUUGAUUUGAUGUUUUGAUUGAUCAAUUGUCUUAUUAAACCUUGUAGUGA